rnacentral:rRNA from 1 species
GCCAGACUCCUACGGGAGGCAGCAGUGAGGAAUAUUGGUCAAUGGCCGGAAGGCUGAACCAGCCAAGCCGCGUGAAGGACGAAGGUGCCAAGCAUUGUAAACUUCUUUUGUCAAGGGACAAAAUCAGGCUCGAGAGCCUGACCGAGGGUACUUGAAGAAAAAGCAUCGGCUAACUCCGUGCCAGCAGCCGCGGUAAUACGGAGGAUGCGAGCGUUAUCCGGAUUUAUUGGGUUUAAAGGGAGCGUAGGCCGGUCUUUAAGCGUGCCGUGAAAUUUUGUGGCUCAACCAUGAGAGUGCGGCGCGAACUGGAGACCUUGAGUGCGCGGAAGGCAGGCGGAAUUCGUGGUGUAGCGGUGAAAUGCAUAGAUAUCACGCAGAACUCCGAUUGCGAAGGCAGCAUACCGGCGCUCAACUGACGCUGAAGCACGAAGGCGUGGGUAUCGAACAGGAUUAGAUACCCUCGUAC